GACAGAGGAUGCAAGCGUUAUCCGGAAUGAUUGGGCGUAAAGCGUCUGUAGGUGGCUUCGUUAGUCGGAUGUGAAAGCUCCUGGCUUAACUGGGAGAGGCCAUUCGAUACUGCGGGGCUUGAGGUUGGGAGAGGGGUGUGGAAUUCCCGGUGUAGUGGUGGAAUGCGUAGAUAUCGGGAGGAACACCAGUGGCGAAGGCGGCACCCUGGCCCACACCUGACGCUGAGGUGCGAAAGCGUGGGUAGCAAACAGG
rnacentral:rRNA from 1 species